CAAAAUAAAUGAAGCACACCACAAUAUGUUGAACCAGAAGAUAUAUUGAAUAAAAAUAAAAUACCGGACUCAUACAUGACACAAUUAAAAAAAAAGUAUGAGUACCGAUCAGCAACGUAAGGCAUGGUCAAUUAUCGUAAUAGUAAUACUGAAAUGAAAUGUUAGAUAAAGUAAGAGGUGAUAAUGAUAUUCCGCAUGGACAACACAAAAUGUGAGGAAUGUGUCCAAGUAUCACCACGCAACACAAGAGUAUUUAAAAUGUCAUGUAGAACGAAUUCAAACAACACGUAUUUAUCUAGGAAGUUAACAUCUGUCACCACCUCCACCAAUUCGAUGACAGAGCAAUACCAACUACAAGACUAUCUUCAUGCUCUCCCGACAGUUCAUACCCGUUUUAGUUCUUUGUUCGCUUCGCCCCCUAGUGUACGGCGUCCUGGUAGCAGGAGCUGGACGUCGCAGCCGUGCCGAGUGCCAUCUCGUCGUAGGAAAUCUAUGUCCUGGUUCGGCUAUAGUGGUUGGAACAGGGACUUCAGUGAGAUCGCCUACGAGAAAUCAAAAGUAGGGGGGAGUUAGUUACCCUAAAUGACCUUCAUUUACCAUACGUAACAUAUCCACUAGUAAUGCAGACAAUAUACUUACCAUCGCCGUCCGUAACGUCGCAACCCUCGAACUCUGCAUCGUUGAUCGGGGCCGCAUGUGAGGGCUCCAUGGCUCCUCCAUCUGAUGAUUACAACACAUACAUAACUAUAUAGCGUUUCACGUUUGC
rnacentral:lncRNA from 1 species